rnacentral:rRNA from 1 species
AACGAACGCUGGCGGCAUGCCUAACACAUGCAAGUCGAACGAUGCUUUCGGGCAUAGUGGCGCACGGGUGCGUAACGCGUGGGAAUCUGCCCUUGGGUUCGGAAUAACAGUGAGAAAUUGCUGCUAAUACCGGAUGAUGUCUUCGGACCAAAGAUUUAUCGCCCAGGGAUGAGCCCGCGUAGGAUUAGCUAGUUGGUGGGGUAAUGGCCUACCAAGGCGACGAUCCUUAGCUGGUCUGAGAGGAUGAUCAGCCACACUGGGGCUGAGACACGGCCCAGACUCCUACGGGAGGCAGCAGUGGGGAAUAUUGGACAAUGGGCGCAAGCCUGAUCCAGCAAUGCCGCGUGAGUGAUGAAGGCCUUAGGGUUGUAAAGCUCUUUUACCCGGGAUGAUAAUGACAGUACCGGGAGAAUAAGCUCCGGCUAACUCCGUG